AACAGUGCUACCACGAAGACCAGUGGCGUUGGCAAUGCUACUAAGAUAAAGGACGUUGCUAUACACAUCAGGUACUCGCUGGAGAGGCAGGCGGAGCGGAACGACUCGUCGGUGGCGUCUUCGUCGCUCACGGGCACGCACAGCUCGCACACCGCCUGCGCCUUCUCCGUCACCGCCUCGCACUCCAGGCACAUCGUCCGUACUACCAUUGUGCCUGACACAAUACAGUAAAGUAAUGAAUAAUAGUAAUAGUGAACGAAUCAGAAAUGAGGAGAUCCGCAAAGUCACUUAGCUCAGUGAGUUGCAAAGCUGAAAUAGCAAUGGGCAGGCCACAUAGUUCGAAGAGCCUACGUUGGGGUCCUAUGGUGCUGGAAUGCUGACCCCGCACCAGAAAGUGCAGCAUUGGUCGACCCUCCACUAGGUGGACAGAGGACAUCAAGCGGAUUUCAGGGAGCCGCUGGAUUCUGACGGCUCGAGACAGACUUAACAUUCCACAGAUUCACUGAAAAAGCAUAGCCUUAGUCUGGGAUUUGUGACACAGGUAAAGGGAGUUCUUUUAUGAUAAUAUUAUGUUGACACUC